rnacentral:rRNA from 1 species
AUACGGAGGGUGCAAGCGUUACACGGAAUCACUGGGCGUAAAGCGCGCGCAGGCGGCUUGAUAAGUUGGAUGUGAAAGCCUACGGCUCAACCGUAGAACUGCACCCAAAACUGUCAAGCUAGAGUCUGGGAGGGGAAGAUGGAAUUAGUUGUGUAGGGGUAAAAUCCGUAGAGAUAACUAGGAAUACCAAAAGCGAAGGCGAUCUUCUGGAACAGUACUGACGCUGAGGCGCGAAAGCGUGGGGAGCAAACAGGAUUAGAAACCCUAGUAGUCC